rnacentral:misc_RNA from 1 species
CUGAAUAACGAGGUUCGCUGUUCUGGCUCUUCGGAGUAUUGUGAACGCGGCUUCAAAUUCACCUUUACCAACUGUGCACCUUUGUAGACUAUGACAACUCUCAACGUCAAGGCUUUAUAGACUUGCGUUGGAUCGAGGGAUCGCGUUAGCUUUCCUUCAACGUCGUAGUCUAUGUAUAUCUCCUUAUAAACAAGUCAUAGAAUGUCCUUUGUGGGUCUUAACAGACCUAUAAAACUAAUA